UCCCUGGUUUAAUCCUAGGUUUCAGGAGCUGAUGUGCUGCUUGAAGGUGGAAAUUGUUCUGUUCAAAAAAAUGUUGGAUUGAAAAUCUAAAGGUCCCAGGUUUCAGCAGAUCUCAUUCUGUAUGAUGUAGCAGUGCCCUGUUAAGCAGCUGAAUAUCUGUUUAGCAUUUUUUUUGAUCUUGUGGAAGUGGGAGACAAAUCUGAGAACCUCCUUGUGACCUGCUUCUGGGCUUGGCCCAGGUGGGUAUUAGGAGGUCUACGCAACCAGCUGAGAGAGUGUUGUCAGACCCUGUAGGACCAACCAACAUCAGCCCAUGUCGGACAACUGUGGUUUCAUAUAACUGAAUGCACUUGGUCACAAAACCUGUGGAAGAGGAGGAACAUAAAUCAGGGCUGAAUUGUUGAUAAUUACAUGUCUGUUAAACCCAAAAGAUAUACAUAGUGGCACAUGUGUAAUCAGUGUAAUCAGUGCAGUGCCAUUUGUAAAAUUUUUUUCCCUACUUUUUGCAGUCUAACAGCCAACAUCACAAAUAAUAUCUUGGCUUUUGUUUACAAUGAGAAAUUAAAUAUUGAAAUUAC